GUAGGGUGCGAGCGUUAAUCGGAAUUACUGGGCGUAAAGCGUGCGCAGGCGGUUUUUUAAGACAGGCGUGAAAUCCCCGGGCUCAACCUGGGAACUGCGCUUGUUACUGGCAGGCUGGAGUGUGGCAGAGGGGGGUGGAAUUCCAUGUGUAGCAGUGAAAUGCGUAGAGAUGUGGAGGAACACCGAUGGCGAAGGCAGCCCCCUGGGCUAACACUGACGCUCAUGCACGAAAGCGUGGGGAGCAAACAGGAUUAGAUACCCUGGUAGUCCACGCCCUAAACUAUGUCAACUGGUUGUCGGGGAAGCAAUUCCUUGGUAACGAAGCUAACGCGUGAAGUUGACCGCCUGGGGAGUACGGUCGCAAGAUUA
rnacentral:rRNA from 1 species